UACAGAGGUGCUAGCGUUGUUCGGAAUCAUUGGGCGUAAAGGGCGUGUAGGCGGUUUGUUAAGUCAUGUGUGAAAUCCCUCGGCUCAACCGGGGAACGACGCAUGAAACUGGCAAGCUAGAGUACCAAAGAGGGGGGUGGAAUUCCCGGUGCAGCGGUGAAAUGCGUAGAUAUCGGGAGGAACACCUGUGGCGAAAGCGAGCCCCUGGACGUCUACUGACGCUGAGACGCGAAAGCCAGGGGAGCGAACGGG
rnacentral:rRNA from 1 species